AACCUUGUCCUGACGCAAACAAAGGCUCGAUCGAUCAAGAUCGGACAAGGAGGAAAGCCUCCUCAACGGCUCCUCUACACUCUCACGACCCCAUCAAGAGCAGAGGGAAGAUCCUCACUUGAACACAUAAGAAAAGGAGAGAUGAAAAGAGAAAGCGACGAACUACACCAGUGAUAAGUAAAAAAUGAACUACAUCAAGGCACAAGGGACCUCAUUUCAACGAGGAAGAAAACCCUUGUCGAAAAUCUCCAGUCCCUAAGGGCGAAUUGACACAGCGAUGACUAGAAACCUUCAAACAACAUCGACGUCGAACAAGAUGAAAGACAAAAGAAGUUCGGUAAAUGACAACUCAAUACCAAAAUGAAUAAGGUAAUGGAAAAUUUUCUUUUUAUUUCACUAGUGA
rnacentral:lncRNA from 1 species